AUUGAACGCUGGCGGCAUGCUUUACACAUGCAAGUCGAACGGUAACAGGCCGCAAGGUGCUGACGAGUGGCGAACGGGUGAGUAAUGCAUCGGAACGUGCCCAGUCGUGGGGGAUAACGCAGCGAAAGCUGCGCUAAUACCGCAUACGAUCUAUGGAUGAAAGCGGGGGACCGAAAGGCCUCGCGCGAUUGGAGCGGCCGAUGUCAGGUUAGGUAGUUGGUGGGGUAAAGGCUCACCAAGCCAACGAUCUGUAGCUGGUCUGAGAGGACGACCAGCCACACUGGGACUGAGACACGGCCCAGACUCCUACGGGAGGCAGCAGUGGGGAAUUUUGGACAAUGGGCGCAAGCCUGGUCCAGCCAUGCCGCGUGCAGGAUGAAGGCCUUCGGGUUGUAAACUGCUUUUGUACGGAACGAAAAGACUCUGGUUAAUACCUGGGGUCCAUGACGGUACCGUAAGAAUAAGCACCGGCUAACUCCGUGCCAGCCGCCGCAGUAACAC
rnacentral:rRNA from 1 species